rnacentral:rRNA from 1 species
GAUGAACGCUGGCGGCGUGCCUAACACAUGCAAGUCGAACGGGAACAGAAUGAAACCUAGUGAUUUUUGUUUUAGUGGCGGACGGGUGAGUAACGCGUGGGUAACCUGCCGUAUACAGGGGGAUAACACUUAGAAAUAGGUGCUAAUACCGCAUAAGCGCACAGCUUCGCAUGGAGCAGUGUGAAAAGCGUAAACGGUAUACGAUGGACCCGCGUCUGAUUAGCUAGUUGGCGGGGUAGAGGCCCACCAAGGCGACGAUCAGUAGCCGGCCUGAGAGGGUGACCGGCCACAUUGGGACUGAGACACGGCCCAA